ACUCCAGUGACUGCCUCUCAGAAAAGAACAGGGCAAUGUCCAUUCUCCUUUUAUUUUCUUUAAGCACCUGAUCAUUCUAAAAUCAUGUGUUCCUCUGUGUGUGUGAGUUAUGUACACGUGUGUGUGUUUUCCUUUCUUUUCUCGGACUCCAGGCUCAUGACUGCUUAUUUGCAUGGUGUUUUGGUGUCAAAGGAGUGUUGAAUGUCUUCUCCACAUACCCAGCUUUAUUCCACUCUAGGAAUUUAACUUCUUCAACAUUGUUAUGAGGUCCCCGGUGACCUCAGUUUCUCCUCUCCGCGUCAUCCAGGACUUCACCUGAAGCUUGAGCUACAUGUAAGACUUCAUCUACCUUGCACAGGGCAAUGGAGAGAGGAUGGCAUACCAGAAUCACCAGAUGACAGACAUCGGGGUGCUGUCGGACCUGGGAAUCAGAACCUCUGCAGAUAGAUAUUUUGGAAGGCGCUCCCUAGAUUGGCACCUCUGGUUAGAACCCUGCCCAGGGACUGGACAAGUUGAGCCCAUGGCUCAUAUCUGGCCAGUGUUCAUUGCUUUGUUGAAUCGCACUUAAUCCUUUGGUUUUGGUAGAUUCCUGCAAGCAGACUGACAGCUGCAUGUUUGCAGGAAAGUUAAAUAUUUUGACAGCGCAGAAGACUGCUGCAUCUGGAGGGUUCUGGGUCCAGCUAUAACCAGACUUGCCUGUCCUAAACAAAUGGAUUGACUGCUUCCGGCAUCCUCACUUUACUUCUGCAUGGUGACCAACAUCCGGAGCUUGAUUACCUGACAGCCAGGAGAUAACAAAAAUGUCACGCCUGAGUCCCUGACAGCAACCCCAGAGGAGCUCCAGGUUUGAGGCAGCGCUGGCAGGACGUGGUCUAUCUGCCAUCUGAAGCCCUUCAUUGCCCGCCUGGCUGUGAAUCUCACCUCCUCUGUAGUGGAAAACAGGCCGAACAGAACUGGCAGGCAGGUAAGGGACAGCAAAUCUUGCAGGGAGGGCCUAGUGCUGAAGCUAAGCCAGCCCUUUGAGUUCAAGCUCAAAGGCAUGUGAUGCCAGCUUUGCAGGGGAGCUAAGAUUCUUCCGAGAAAAAGCAGAAUGAGAGAGAGAUACGCAGCUGCAGUGGAGGACUUGGAAGAGAACAACACCAGGGCCUGGAUCCUGCAAGAAUCUCCUCUGGAAAAGCAGGGGAGAGAAAAGCAAGGAAGGAAGCAGGGUCACCGCAAGUGUGGGAUUUGUCUUAUUAAAAUCUGAUACUGUGUGGCAGUUUGCUUCACUCUUGGUAUAAAAUGUCUGAGCUCCAUGUUAAAGUAAAUGUAAGUAAUAUAAAUCUGCCUUUCCUGAGGUGAAAAUAGAUCCAUAUUAUUUAAAAUAUGAACUGAGAUAGAUGACAGUUACAAACAUUAUACUUGUUCUUAUUAUAAUUCUUACUAAGCUCAAGGAAUAAAAACUGGGAUGAUGAAAAAGAA